rnacentral:lncRNA from 1 species
AUGGCUGACAACUCUCAGAAGAUGAGCUACCACGCUGGAGAGGCCAAGGGCCAAGCUCAGGUAAUUAGCUCACCUGUAAAUUGUAAUUCUCAAUUUGCUUUUGCUUCUUUCUUCUGUUUCCUUUUAGAUUGAUGUGGGAUGUUUUGUAUUGGAUAAUUUUGGAUUUAACAGGAGAAGGCCGGUGGGAUGAUGGAUAAGGCUAACAAUGCAGCCCAGUCUACCAAGGAGACAAUGCAAGAUGUUGGUCAGAAUGUGCAGGCGAAGGCUCAAGGAGCUGCUGACGCAGUCAAGAAUGCCACUGGCAUGAACAAAUGAAGCUGCUCAUGAUGAUCAUUUUCAUGACUUUUAAUGACUUUAUAGGGUUAAGAUGAUGGCAAACUUUCAUUGAGUUUUAUAGACUUUUAUGUAAUUUUUUUUUCUUUCUUAUCCUUCUUUUGAAAGAAGGAAUUGAAAAUUGCAUAGAAUUCUAAAAUGAUGGAAUUUAGAUCUCCAUCAUUUUAAGUUACGGAAAUUAAUAAUUUCAGUGUUCGGAUUUAUGUAUGUCGAAUUUUGCAAAUGAAAUUUCAAGGAAAAACAAAUUCCUUCACUCAAUAGAAAUUGUGAAUGAUGUCUCUUUUGAUUGAAAUUAAACUCAAAAAUCUUGAGUGCUUAACUUUCGUGCUAAAGUAGCCAAACAAUGAAAAUAUUAAAUUCUAUGCUUCAGUUCUUAACUUUUAGCUAAAUAAUUAACGUAUGGUAAUAGCAGUAUGUAGUAUGACCAAAAGAAAACGAAUUCUAAUAUUAUCUUUUGAUCACGAUGAACUAACUCAUGAGAUCUAUAUAAACAAAAUAAUUAUUCAUGUAGAGAUUUGAUGAAUAUCAAUUAUGAAUUCGUUGGGUUAGAGACUUUUUCACCUCAGAUUUCUAAAGGUCUCAUUCUGGGCCUCGGUGCCUUAUGGCUUUUUGAAAUAUCCACCAAGUUGACCAAACACAUUAAAAUACACUCAAGUCAAGAGAACCAAACUAACACAAAAAUACAUAAUGUAAAUGAACUUGGGGUAACUAUCAAGUAGAAAUUUUUUUAUAGAGCCAGUGUAUGCAUUAUUUUCCUCGUUAUAAGUGUUCACAUAACUAAGCACGUGAAAGAAUGUAGCGUGCAUGAAAGAGCUGGUGUAUGCAUUAUUUUUCUCACAAUAAGUGGUCACAUAACUAAGCACGUGAAAGAAUAUAGCGUGCAUGAUGAUGUAUAAAACUCGUUACACGUAAGAUUUUUUGAGGUUAAAGAUAAAAUGAACACUUGUCCAGAAACUGAAGGACAAUAUUGCUUUUAACUCAUGUGGAGGAUAACCCAACAAGUUUAUUGGCAUUUACACAUAAGAUGUUCUGGCCUUUCAAUCAAAUAAUAAUAUCUUGUGGAUUAUGGAACAGUCUUGUGAAUUGUAAUUAAUUGAUAAUUUAAUCCAAUAUUACGAGAAUUCCAUAAUGCUAAAAAAAGUAAUUUUCAUUCACAAAACUGUCCAAGAAACCCUCAGAAUAGCAACUUUUAAGACUCAACAGCCUUCCUGGUCAAACGGCUCACCCUAAGUUAUAGGCGACACGUGUUAUGGCCCAAAACCAUGACCAGGAUGAAAUGUGUGCAUGACAUCACACAUGUCGAGCAUUCAGUUGGUCUAAAAUCGUAUAUAAACCAUACCCAAUUGUGAGAUAUUCAUCAUCAGCAAAUCAAAUUUGAGUUAUAACAACUUCAUCUGAAUUUCAAGUGUUUUCAAGAAAACAAAGCAAGAAGAAAAUGGCUGACAACUCUCAGAAGAUGAGCUACCACGCUGGAGAGGCCAAAGGCCAAGCUCAGGUAAUUAGCUCACCUGUAAAUUGUAAUUCUCAAUUUGCUUUUGCUUCUUUCUUCUGUUUUCUUUUAGAUUGAUGUGGGAUGUUUUGUAUUGGAUAAUUUUGGAUUUAACAGGAGAAGGCCAGUGGGAUGAUGGAUAAGGCUAACAAUGCAGCCCAGUCUACCAAGGAGACAAUGCAAAAUGUUGGUCAGAAUGUGCAGGCGAAGGCUCAAGGAGCUGCUGAUACAGUCAAGAAUGCCACUGGCAUGAACAAAUGAAGCUGCUCAUGAUGAUCAUUUUCAUGACUUUUAAUGACUUUAUAGGGUUAAGAUGAUGGCAAACUUUCAUUGAGUUUUAUAGACUUUUAUGUAAUUUUUUUUUCUUUCUUAUCCUUCUUUUGAAAGAAGGAAUUGAAAAUUGCAUAGAAUUCUAAAAUGAUGGAAUUUAGAUCUUCAUCAUUUUCAGUUAUGGCAAUUAAUAAUUUUAGGAUUCGAAUUUAUGUAUAUCGAAUUUUGCAAAUGAAAUUUCAUGGAAAAACGAAUUCCUUCACUCAAUAGAAAUUGUGAAAUGAUGUCUAUUUUGAAUGAAAUUAAACUCAGAAAUAUUGAGUGCUUAACUUUCGUGCUAAAGUAGCCAAACAAUGGAAAUAUCAAAUUCUACACUUCAAUUCCUAACUUUUAGGUAAAUAAUUAAUGGGUAAUAGAAGUAUGUAGUAUGACCAAAAGAAAACGAAUUCUAAUAUUAUCUUUUGAUUAUGAUGAAUUAACUCAUGAGAUCUAUAUAACCAAAAUAAUUAUUCAUGUAGAGAUUGAUGAAUAUCAAUUAUGAAUUCGUUGGGUUUGAGACUAUUUCAUCUCUUAUUUCUAAAAGUCUUUGGGUUUGAGACUAUUUCAUAUAUCUCUUAUUUCUAAAGGUCUCAUUCUAGGCCUGGGUGCCUUAGAGCUUUUUGAAAUAUCCACCAGUUGACCAAACCAUAGUCUGAAAUAUCGAUAAUAUCGAGGAAAUAUCGAGGAUAUUUCGGUUUUUUCGAACCACGGAUAUUUCGGAACAUAUCCAUGUACAUAUCGUAUAAAUAUCGACAAUAUCGACGAUAAUAUCGGAAAAUAUCAAUGUCGAUAAUUUCGCUUACAUUUCAGCAAUAUAUUGUCAAAAUAUCGCUAAAAUAUCGAAAAUAUCGAUGUGAAGGAAAAAAAAAAGGGAAAAAGGGGAGAAAAAAGCACAAAGGGGAUAUGAACCCCUCCCAUUUUACUCCUCCAACACCUUAAACACCAUAUCACUUAUGUUUUUGUGAUAAUAUGCUAAAAUAUUUAUAUUUAUAUGGGUGGUAUGUUAACAAUUACAUGCAAAACUAUUUUGGGGAUUUAUCAUUUGAUGACUACUCUUCACAAUACACUUACUCUACACAUAGAGAUGAUGAAGAUAGUGAAAAAUUUGAACCUCGUAGGAACUCUAUGUGGUACUAAGUCACUCAUGUAUCUUACCAUGCAAUGUAUAAAGUGUAAAAUAUUAUAGUAAAUCAUUAUAUAUAAAUGAUUACGGUGUAUUUAAUCUUUUUUCAUUAAUUAUUACAUAUUUUUUACACUCAUAGUGUUUGCCCGCUUGCUGUAUAAUCAACUUAAAUUAGUUAAAUCCAUCAUGCAAUGCAUUUCCUUCUAAUUUUUUGUGAUAAACUCAUAGAUAAUUGACUAAAUAAACAUUCUCCAAAAUUUCAAUUAAAAUUUCCAAGUUUUUCUUACAAUUUCUGUGAUCUUUAUUCAAUUUUUAUCGAUAUCGAUAAUAUCCCGAUAUUUCCAUCGAAAUUUCCAUAUUUUUGGAUUACCGAUAUUUCCGAUAUCAUCGAUAUUUUAGACCUUGGACCAAACACAUUAAAAUGCACUCAACUCAAGAAACAAGACUCCAUAAAUCAGAAACACAAUAGAACCAAACUAACACAAAAAUACAUAAUGUGAAGGAACUUGGGGUAACUAUCAAGUAGAAAAAUUUAUAUAGAGCUUUUGUAUGCCUUAUUUUCAUCAUAAUAAGUGUUCACAUAACUAAGCACACGAAAGAAUGUAGCGUGUAUGAAAGAGCUAGAGUAUGCAUUAUUUUUCUCAUAAUAAGUGGUCACAUAACUAAGCAUAGGAAAGAAUAUAGCAUGCAUGAUGAUGUAUAAAACUCGUUACAUGUAAGAUUUUUUGUGUUAAAGACAAAAUGCACAAUUUCCUAGAAACUGAAGGAUAAUAUCGCUUUUCACUCAUGUGGAGGAUAACCCAACAAGUUUAUUAGCAUUUACUCAUAAGAUGUUCUGGCCUUUCAAUCAAAUAAAAAUAUCUCGUGGAUUGUGGAAUAGUCUUGUGAAUUGUAAUUAAUUGAUAAUAUAAUCCAAUAUUCCAAGAAUUCCAUAAUGCUGAAAAAAAUAAUUUCCAUCCACAAAACUGUCUAAGAAACCCUCAGAAUAGCAACUUUUAAGGCUCAACAGCCUUCCUGGUCAAAAGGCUCACCCUAAGUUAUUGGGCGACACAUGUUAUGGUCCAAAACCAUGACCAGGAUGAAAUGUGUGCAUGACAUCACACAUGUCGAGCAUUAAGCUAGUCUAAAAUCGUAUAUAAACCAUACCCAAUUGUGAGAGAUUCAUCAUCAGCCAAUCGAAUUUGAGUUAUAACAACUUCAUCGGAAUUUCAAGUGUUUUCAAGAAAACAAAGCAAGAAGAAAAUGGCUGACAACUCUCAAAAGAUGAGCUACCAUGUUGGAGAGGCCAAGGGCCAAGCUCAGGUAAUUAGCUCACCUGUAAAUUGUAAUUCUCCAUUUGUUUUUGCUUCUUUCUUUUUUUUUCUUUUAGAUUAAAGUGGGUUGUUUUGUAUUGGAUAAUUUUGGAUUUAACAGGAAAAGGUCGGUGGGAUGAUGGAUAAGGCUAACAAUGCAGCCCAAUCUACCAAGGAGACAAUGCAAGAUGUUGGUCAGAAUGUGCAGGCGAAGGCUCCAGGAGCUGCUGAUGCAGUCAAGAAUGCCACUGGCAUGAACAAAUGAAGCUGCUCAUGAUGAUUAUUUUCAUGACUUUUAAUGACUUUAUAGAGUUAAGAUGAUGGCAGACUUUCAUUUAGUUUUAUAGACUUUUAUGUCUAUUUUUUUUUUCUUUCUUAUCCUUCUUUUGAAAGAAGGAAUUGAAAAUUGCAUAGAAUUAUAAAAUAAUGGAAUUUAGAUCUUCAUCAUUUUAAGUUAUGGCAAUUAAUAAUUUUAGGGUUCAAAUUUAUGUAUAUCGAAUUUUGCAAAUGAAAAAUGAAAUUUCAGGAUAAAACGAAUUCCUUCACUCAAUAGUGAAAAUGAUGUCUCUUUUGAAUGAAAUUAAACUUGGAAAUAUUGAGUGCUUAACUUUCGUGCUAAAGUAGCCAAACAAUGGAAAUAUCAAAUUCUACUCUUCAAUUCUUAACUUUUAGCUAAAUAAUUAACGUAGGGUAAUAGCAGUAUGUAGUAUGACCAAAAGAAAACGAAUUCUAAUAUUAUCUUUUGAUCAUGAUGAAUUAACUCAUGAGAUCUAUAUAACCAAAGUAAUUAUUCAUGUAGAGAUUGAUGAAUAUCAAUUAUGAAUUCAUUGGGUUUGAGACUAUUUCAUCUCUGAUUUCUAAAGGUCUCAUUCUGGGCCUGGGUGCCUUAGGGCUUUUUGAAAUAUCCACCAGUUGACCAAACACAUUAAAAUGCACUCAAGACAAGAAGCAAGACUCCAUAAAUCAAAAAUACAAGAGAACCAAACUAACACAAAAAUACAGAAUGUGAAGGAACUUGGAGUAACUAUCAAGUAGAAAAAUUUAUAUAGAGCUGGUGUAUGCCUUAUUUUCCUCGUAAUAAGUGUUCACAUAACUAAGCACAUGAAAGAAUGCAGCGUGCAUAAAAGAGCUAGUGUAUGCAUUAUUUUUCUCAUAAUAAGUGGUCACAUAACUAAGCCCAGGAAAGAAUAUAGCGUGCAUGAUGAUGUAUAAAACUCGUUACACAUAAGAUUUUUUGCGGUUAAAGACAAAAUGCACACUUGCCCAUAAACUGAAGGAUAAUAUCGCUUUAAACUCAUGUGGAGGAUAACCCAACAAGUUUAUUAGCAUUUACUCAUAAGAUGUUCUGGCCUUUCAAUCAAAUAAAAAUAUCUCGUGGAUUGUGGAACAGUCUUGUGAAUUGUAAUUAAUUGAUAAUAUAAUCCAAUAUUACAAGAAUUCCAUAAUGCUGAAAAAGUAAUUUCCAUUCACAAAACUAUAUAAGAAACCCUCAGAAUAGCAACUUUUAAGACUCAACAGCCUUCCUGGUCAAAAGGCUCACCCUAAGUUAUUGGGCGACACGUGUUAUGGUCCAAAACCAUGACCAGGAUGAAAUGUGUGCAUGACAUCACACAUGUCGAGCAUUCAUCUAGUCUAAAAUCGUAUAUAAACCAUACCUAAUUGUGAGAGAUUCAUCAUCAUCCAAUCGAAUUUGAGUUAUAACAACUUCAUCUGAAUUUCAAGUGUUUUCAAGAAAACAAAGCAAGAAGAAAAUGGCUGACAACUCUCAAAAGAUGAGUUACCAUGCUGGAGAGGCCAAGGGCCAAGCUCAGGUAAUUAGCUCACCUGUAAAUUGUAAUUCUCCAUUUGUUUUUGCUUCUUUUUUUUUUAGAUUAAAGUGGGAUGUUUUGUAUUGGAUAAUUUUGGAUUUAACAGGAAAAGGCCGGUGGGAUGAUGGAUAAGGCUAACAAUGCAGCCCAAUCUACCAAGGAGACAAUGCAAGAUGUUGGUCAAAAUGUGCAGGCAAAGGCUCAAGGAGCAGCUGAUGCAGUCAAGAAUGCCACUGGCAUGAACAAAUGAAGCUGCUCAUGAUGAGCAUUUUCAUGACUUUUAAUGACUUUAUAGAGUUAAGAUGAUGGCAAACUUUCAUUGAGUUUUAUAGACUUUUAUGUAAUUUUUUUUUCUUUCUUACCCUUCUUUUGAAAGAAGGAACUGAAAAUUUCAUAGAAUUCUAAAAUGAUGGAAUUUAGAUCUCCAUCAUUUUAAGUUACGGCAAUUAAUAAUUUUAGUGUUUGGAUUUAUGUAUAUCGAAUUUUAGAAAUAAAGUUUCACGGAAUAACGAAUUCCUUCACUCAAUAGAAAUUGUGAAAUGACUUCUCUUUUUAUUGAAAGUAAACCCAGAAAUCUUGAGUGCUUGACUUUCGUGCUAAAGUAGCCAAACAAUGAAAAUAUUAAAUUCUACUAUUCAAUUCUUAACUUUUAGCUAAAUAAUUAACGUAUGGUAAUAGAAGUAUGUAGUAUAUGACCAAAAGCAAAUUAAAUUUGAGUUAUAACAACUUCAUCUGAAUUUCAAGUGUUUUCAAGAAAACAAAGCAAGAAGAAAAUGGCUGACAACUCUCAAAAGAUGAGCUACCAUGUUGGAGAGGCCAAGGGUCAAGCUCAAGUAAUUAGCUCACCUGUAAAUUGUAAUUUUCCAUUUUAUUUUUGCUUCUUUUUUUUGAUUUUUUUAGAUUAAUGUGGGAUGUUUUGUAUUGGAUAAUUUUGGAUUUAACAGGAGAAGGCCGGUGGGAUGAUGGAUAAGGCUAACAAUGCAGCCCAAUCUACCAAGGAGACAAUGCAAGAUGUUGGUCAAAAUGUGCAGGCGAAGGCUCAAGGGGCUGCUGAUGCAGUCAAGAAUGCCACUGGCAUGAACAAAUGA